CCUGAGAACCGCGGAAUAAUCAAACCUUUGCUUUGAUACCACUUGUUGCGAUUUGAUUGUUGAUUAACUAGAUUGUUCGUUCAAUCUUGAUUAGACGUUUAACCGUAAAGACACUUGCGAUUUGUUUUCCCAGUUCACGACCUCUAGUCGCUACGUCUGGGGAGAGUCGGAGCUCUCAACUUUGUACUAGCUCUUCACCGGAAAAACUCAUCCGGUAUCGAUGUGAUACAAGACAAGUAGACGAUCGGGAACGGUCACGGAGCUCGCACUAGAACGUCGCUGUAACGCGCAAGCUCGCCGGAGAAGAUGAUCACCUCGAUCCUCUUCUUGAUCUCAACCAAUGAAGACCGUUAAGUUGUUACAACAACUUAACAAUGAUCCGUUCCAGCUUAUAGAAGGAGAAGGCUUCAAGAUUCGCCUUGGCCCAUUACACUCAACUCAAGACGUAGGCCCAACUACUACUCUCUUGGGCUUCAAGGUUUAAUGACACAAGGCCCACACCUGUGUACGCCACUUCUUCAACACUGGACGUAGCACACGACGAUAGUGUCUGAAAACAUCAUGGAACAAUCUCAAACCAGAGACAUGUGUAUGCAUGGAUAAUAGGAUAGGGCCGGUACUGGGGGCAUAGGUCAGUCAAGCAUUGCCCUAUAGUACCCAAAAAUUUCAAAGAAAAUACACAGAAAUAGGUCCUCAAAUUUGUUAAAUUUUUUUUUUAUUGAAACCUUUAUAAGAAAUCGUCUACCAUAUAAGAAAUGUCUACGGCUUCCAAAAUCUAAGAGCCGGCCUAAAUAAACUCCAAACACGGUUUAAAAUA